rnacentral:rRNA from 1 species
ACAGCCUAAACCUUGUAUGUUACGGCAUAUAAGGGGUUGUAGGACCACAACAUGAUAAUAAAAACGAAGCUGAACUGUCUGGAAAGUCAGGCCGCAGAGGGUGACAGCCCCGUAAGAAUAAGUUUUUGUUUGAUAGUGGUAUCCUGAGUACCGCGAGGUCGGAGACGCCUUGUGGGAAUCUGCCGGCACCAUCCGGUAAGGCUAAAUACUACUGAAACACCGAUAGCGAACUAGUACCGUGAGGGAAAGGUGAAAAGAAUCUUGAA